AGUGAACGCUGGCGGUAGGCCUAACACGUGCAAGUCGAACGGCAGCACAGUAAGAGCUUGCUCUUACGGGUGGCGAGUGGCGGACGGGUGAGGAAUACAUCGGAAUCUACUUUUUCGUGGGGGAUAACGUAGGGAAACUUACGCUAGUACCGCAUACGACCUACGGGUGAAAGCAGGGGAUCUUCGGACCUUGCGCGAUUGAAUGAGCCGAUGUCGGAUUAGCUAGUUGGCGGGGUAAAGGCCCACCAAGGCGACGAUCCGUAGCUGGUCUGAGAGGAUGAUCAGCCACACUGGAACUGAGACACGGUCCAGACUCCUACGGGAGGCAGCAGUGGGGAAUAUUGGACAAUGGGCGCAAGCCUGAUCCAGCCAUACCGCGUGGGUGAAGAAGGCCUUCGGGUUGUAAAGCCCUUUUGUUGGGAAAGAAAAGCAGCAGGUUAAUACCCCGCUGUUCUGACGGUACCCAAAGAAUAAGCACCGGCUAACUUCGUG
rnacentral:rRNA from 1 species